rnacentral:rRNA from 1 species
AUGGAGGAUGCUGGUUAUUGCGCGACAUCACCGCACAAGAGGAGUUGUGCAUUAUCUGACCCCAGCAACACUGAGACCACAGCUUCUCAUGAUGAUGAUAUAUCUGAUCUAUCAGGAAUGAGAGACAGACUGAAGGGCGUGCUUACACAUUACGAAGGUAUAUUAAAAUGUGCAACAGCCUGGGUUUACCCACCCUUCUUGGAAGAGGGCUUCUGUGCCAUUGAAGUCGGGCUGUGUGAAAAUGUCCUAGGGGACUUUGAUGAGCAUAGGACCUUGGGAGAAACACUAUUACAUCACAUCCAGUGCCCACGAAAGGAAAUAGACUUCAUGGACCUAAUACUCCCUGUAGCCCGGCCAAGAGCAACUAAUGUCGCCCCUCAGCCAGCCAUGUCAUCGUCCGCCCUAGAGCAGCCAAUGGCAAGGUCUGCAACUAUUGAGGACGCACCACGGGUUCAUAUGCCGGCCGCUGAAGCAGCGAGGGGAGACCCAGCUGCACCACAUGCUCAGCAGACCAACCUGAUGGAACAGACUACUAAGCAGUCUGAUGCUUCAGCACCGCCUGCUGAGCAGUCUUCUGCCUUUCAGCCAUUCAGACCUUGGACCAUAAGUGCUUCAAGUACCAAGAAGGAAGCUGGCAAAAAGGCUGCAACCGUGAGGAAGCGCGCCCAGAGAGCGAAGAGGAAAGAGAACGAUUGCCUCUUACUUAAAGCACUCGUCGCCCAGAACCAAAUUAACAACAAGUUGUUCGAAUCGGAGAGUAAUGUUAUGCCUGACGGCAUGAAUGAUGCAGAAAUAGAUUUGGUGCUUGCUAAAAAUAAAGCUAACGUACUUGAAGCACACAAUUACGUCCAUGGUCAGCCAUUUCUUUUUGGUGAAUACUUUGAUGAGUGCAGCUCCAGUUGCCGCGAUUUACAUAAAUAUUGCAUGGAUCAAAUGUUAGCAGGUCAUCCUGUUCUGCUAGUCUGCUACAACAGAGAUCAUUUCCAACACGAUGCUGGUUUGAUCAGUGUGAAUUUCGAGGACUUACAUCUCUUCUUCAACUUCAACGAGCUCGAUGCCACUCAUGUUAGAUGCCUGAUUUUGGGAUUGAAUGCGCAAAGAAGAAAAAGGGGGAGUGUGCAUUUCAUAGAUCCUCCAUUAGAAAAUGGUACACCAUUACAUGGUAAGGAUGGACGGGAGUGGGACAUUAACACGGUCGCCCGUAACACGUCCCAUGCAAAAUCAUUUCUAUGGCCAUAUCAUGAACGGGAACCUGUUCAAGAGGGAACUACUCUGCAUCACGAGAUCGUUUCUCUGUGUCCUGAGCAACAAGCAGGGACCAACCUUUGUGGAUACUAUGUUUGCAGACACAUGAUCUCCAUCUGCAAAUGUGCUGAUAGUUGUGAAGUUGCUUGUGAAUUAGUACCACUCAUCUUACAACCGAGGACCCCUGAACCGCUCCCCGCUGGUGAAUUGCUGAUGGUUCGAAGAUUUAUCAGCGACUUCUUCCUGAAUCACUACAUCAAUCCCACUAGUGAUAAUGAAGAUUUUAGCAUGCCUUCUCCUGAAACAUUGAGAAACGUGUGGGAUCCCAAACAAAAAGCACACGUCACUCUUACUGCAACCGUCGGUGAUACACAACAAAUCACAAAUGGUCUGCAACACUUGUAUAGCUCAAAGGAGGAAGACUUGGAGGAGGAGGAGGAGGAGGAGGGCGACCCCAUGGUCAUGGAAAAUAUCACAAUGGACGAGUCGAAAGAGGAGCAGGCACCCGUGCAUGUGGCCGAGUUCAACCUGCCUGGGGCGAAGCAACACUACAACAUGGUGCUUGUGGAGGCAGAGGAUAGAAGCCUGUGCCGGUGGGGAGCCACCGCGUUGCUUGAUCCGGUUAGCGAGGCGGAGCGCAACAGGCUCUUCGAGUGGCUGGAGACGGAGGACAAUCACACUAGCACAAAGACGAUGCCAACAGGCAUUCAUCGUCAGCUCCGGCUCAUUCGAGUUGGCCGCCAACGACGACGAGUCCGAACCAUCUCACGUUGGAACUGUGGAUCGCACCUCCGACUGAAGGAGUUGGAUGGUCUCGCCUGGCUGGCUCUUGAUGUUCGUUUGGUGAUCUGCAUUAGAUUUGUCCUAACUAGUUGCUCCCCUAAGAAAACUCUCCUCGCUAUCGAGCUUUGGCCUACAACCAAAAUCCCUGUCAUCUCCUUCGCCAUCGCCACCGCCACCGCCACCGCCACCUCCUCCCGUUCUUCUCCGGCCGCUGCCUCAGACUUGGUGCCCGCAUGCUGCCACCCGCAGGAGCCGCAGAUGGCGUCUUCGACGUCCACCCUAGAGAACGAGGCUCGCGACGUGGUGAAGAUAAUGCUGCAGUUCUGCAAGGAAAACUCGCUUCAUCAGAUGUUCCAGACCCUGCAGAAUGAAUGCCAGGUCUUGCUCAACACGGUGGACAGCAUGGAUACCUUCACUGCCGACAUUAAUGUUGGGCGUUGGGAUGCCGUGCUGCCGCAGGUUGCCCAGCUGAAGCUGCCGCGCAAGAAGCUUGAGGACCUCUACGAGCAGAUUGUGCUUGAGAUGGCAGAGCUCCAUGAGCUGAACAUGGCCCGUGCAAUCCUUUGCCAGACACAUGUGAUGGGGGCUUACCAAGAAUCUACCAAGGAAAAGCGACGUGCGCAGAUUGCCCAAGUAGUCCCACCAGCUCGGCUAAUGGCACUGAUUACCCAGGCUUUGAAAUGGCAACAGCACCAAGGUUUGUUACCCCCUGGCACACAGUUUGAUUUGUUCAGAGGAACCGCUGCAAUGAAGCAAGACGAAGAAGAGGCAUAUCCUACUACUUUGUCACAUCAAAUAAAGUUCGGGAAGAAAACCCACCCUGAGUGUGCUCGAUUCUCACCCGAUGGCCAGUACCUUGUUUCAUGCUCAGUGGAUGGAAUCAUCGAAGUCUGGCAUUAUGUCAGCGGCAAGCUGAAAAAGGAUCUUCAAUAUCAAGCCGAUGAAAGCUUUAUGAUGCACGAGGAUGCUGUGCUCUGUGUUGAUUUUAGUAGAGAUUCUGAGAUGCUGGCAUCUGGAUCACAGGAUAGAAAAAUUAAGUCAUGUGAACUGCUUGUUUGGCGUAUACGAACUGGCCAGUGCUUGCGACACCUCGAGCGUUCACACGCAAAGUCACCGACGAUUGGAGUCCGAAGUGCCGCAUCUCCUUUUGAAAACUAUGAUCCUUCUUGUGAGAUGCUCCGAUUUGGAAGGACCCGAUCUACAAUUUCCGAACCGCUGCAGAAAAGAAAAGAAGCACACUACCCCCGCCUGACAAAAGAAACGCUCUCAGUACACCUGCAUGCCACCUCACUCCACUCCAUCCAUCUAGCGCCAGUCGCCACCGCUGCACCUCGCACCGGCCAUCCCCCACCCCCUACCUCGCACCGGUCGCCCCGCCCUGUCUCGCGCCGGUCACCGCCGCCAUACCUCGCCCCAGCCAUCGUCCACCCCUUUCUCACGCCGGCCGCUCUGUCUCGUCUCAUGCUAGCUGCCCCCGCCCCAUCUCGCGAUGCGCCGCCCCCACCUUCUGUCGCGGCCGCCAUGCCCACCUCCUGUCGCGGCCGCCGCCCCCACCUCCCGCCGCGGCCAUCGCCCAGCAAGCUAACCAGCCGACCAACUACGGAUAUCAAGCAUGACACCGGCCCGGAUCCACCGCACACCAACGACCCCUUCCCAACGAGUUCCAGCGCCGACCAUCCCGGCGCUACUCGUGAUCCCCUCCUCCAUCAGCUCCACUUCGCCGCAGCCUGGGGAGUCCGAUCAUUUGCUGCUCAAAAUCCGAUAACAAUCCGACAACAAUCGAAGGAGGAAUGCGCAACAAGCAAGUCUAUCAUCGACGGCAAGACUUGCUUGCCAAGUACUUUGUGCAUAUCCUUACUUGAAAUCUGGCUCCACCCUUCUCCCGUUGAACCUCUCAUGAAGCUCGUGCACGUACAGCAGCAGCACUAG